rfam:Ixodes scapularis strain Wikel colony gcontig_1108379050864, whole genome shotgun sequence.
GCAGGUACGGCGAUAUGGUGCCUGACACGAUCACGGGCAAGAUUGUGGGCGGCGUGUGCUCCCUAAGCGGGGUGCUCGUCAUCGCGCUGCCUGUGCCUGUCAUCGUGUCCAAC